GCAUAUGAUGUUCAGAAUACAAAUUACAAUCCAACUCUUCUUCAAAAUGAACAAUGGUUGAUGAGCCCUCUAAACUAGCUGAUGUGUUGUUCUUGUACAAGCCCCUACUUCUAUCCAAAAACCCACUUCUCAUCAAGCCUGCAUAUUUUUCUCUGAUAUCAACUAGAGGAUGCUUCUGCCAGAGUUGUUGGCCAUCAUAUGCUUCUCUGAGAACAAUGGUUUGAGUGUCACACUUCUUAGAGAUGUAGAAAAUUCCAGGAUGGCGCUCAAACACUUUAGUGAACUUCUGAGGCAGGGACAAUGGUUUACGGAGAUUGCUGACGUUCUUGCGUUCAGUUCUCUUCUCUAUGGUGAGGUGGAGAAGCUCAUGAAAGACUCCAACGAUCCUCUUCUCAGACACAUCUGUCCGUGGAUCUAAAUGAGACGCAUCAGAGUAAGGUGAAGUAUAAGGGAGCCUUUGCCACUUUUCUAACCACUCCAUGCACUUCCUCUUCAACCCAAAGCCUCUCGUGAAUCCAAUUGGAAAGGCUAAGCAGCCAUUUUUCACAUCUUCUUUUUGUUGGAACGCAACAUUCUUCUGCAACUGGGAGACAGCAAGGCGAUCAUCCCAAAUUCGAAGUUUCAAGCCAACACGAUCAUCAGGAAGGCGAAUAGAAGAAAAUAAAUCAAGGUGAUGUGGAAUCAAUGCAUCAUAGUAAUCAUAAGGCAAUCCCAUAUCCCAUUUUAGCUGGUCAAUAGUUUGCAAUGGAAGAGUCCUAUCCCUUGUAAGCAUAAGCAGUUUGCAAAGCCUUCCAAUGAGAUCCAUUUGGUUCUGCUCAAGUAUAUGGAGUUCUUGUUGGUGAAUAUUCAAGGCUUCAGGUGUCAAUCCGAAGCAAGGAACACGAGUGCCUCCACUAUCAAGAAUGUGAGACUCGCAGAAAAUGGUAGGAUAUCUCUUGAUAAAUGUCGACAGCUUAAGAUUGUGAGGUAGACCAAGCUGUCCACGGUGUGGGGUGAGCUGGUAGAUAGGAAGGAAGCAUUUGGGAGCUGACAAGAUGAUUGAAACAAGAAUACAUGUAGCUCUGAGAUCCCCCUGACCAACCACAACAGCAUCCAAGGCCUUAUCUUUCACCCAUUUCAACUUGACAUUCACCAGACUGAACUUCUGUUGGUAAUUGAAGCCUCUCCGAAAUCCAUCGAGAAAACUGCUGGAGCUUCCUAAUCUUCUUAACAAAAACAGGAAAACCAUAUCCCUUUAUGAUGAUCCUGAAGAAUCAAUUUCUAUGGUCUAGCUUCAUCGUUCAGUAUUUUAUCCUAGUGGGAAUCCACCAAAC
rnacentral:misc_RNA from 1 species